rnacentral:rRNA from 1 species
UACGGGGGGGAGCAAGCGUUGUUCGGAUUUACUGGGCGUAAAGGGCGCGUAGGCGGUCUUGCAAGUCCUGUGUGAAAUCCCUCGGCUCAACUGAGGAACUGCACAGGAAACUGCUUGGCUUGAGUUCGGGAGAGGGAAGCGGAAUUCCGGGUGGUAGCGGUGAAAUGCGUAGAUAUCCGGAGGAACACCAGCGGCGAAGGCGGCACUCUGGGCUGGUACUGACGCUGAGGAGCGAAAGCCAGGGGAGCAAACGGG